rnacentral:rRNA from 1 species
UACGUAGGGCGCAAGCGUUGUCCGGAAUUAUUGGGCGUAAAGAGCUCGUAGGCGGCUUGUCGCGUCGGAUGUGAAAGCCCGGGGCUUAACUCCGGGUCUGCAUUCGAUACGGGCAGGCUAGAGUUCGGUAGGGGAGAUCGGAAUUCCUGGUGUAGCGGUGAAAUGCGCAGAUAUCAGGAGGAACACCUAUAGCGAAGGCAGCUUGCUGGGACGGUACUGACGCUAAGGCGCGAAAGCGUGGGGAGCGAACAGG